AUUUUAACAUUUCAGUUUCGACCCCAUUUGGUCUCCGCGAACUGUACCGAACUGCAAUCUUUAUCCGAUAGCUUUCGACUUCUAUUUCUCUCUCUACGGGUGUCAGAAUAAUCUGAAACUUUAAAUCUCGCCUCAUAAAAAUAUUUCUGACAUCUCCUCCAGUUUUCACAAUUUUCUGACACUGUGCAUUUUCUGCUAAUUUAUCAGUCCCAUUCUUUACAGAAAAUUCUAAAUUUUCUGUUUUCGCUCCGAUUCCAACACGAGUCAUUCCAGACUUAUAUUUUACACCCUUAAGUCCAAUAAAAUAUUAUCUCACACCAUUUUUGUAUUAUUUUGCUCACUUUAAUUCUUUUAAUCAAAGUUAGCGUCGGAAAUCCGAAAAUUCUCUUUACAUUUCGUUUCGCGCCCAAUUUGCACCGAAACACUUAUUUAUCUCCAGAAUUCAUUCACACGCAUCACAAAUCACUCGGGGAUGAUAUCCAACUAGCUCAAUCCUCACUUUGAUCCCCUAUAUCAAAGUUGACAUUGCAACUCCAAGUUGCCAUAUAUUACAAUCUCCCCCUGUUAACCAAAGUUUCGUCCGCGAAACUUAGAUUCUUAUUGCUCCUCAUUUACUCAACGGAUGGAGAUAAAUUCCAACAAUCAUCAACAUGUAAAAUCAUAUCAUUCCGUAGCUUCUGAAUUUCAGUCUAUGCUACCCUGAUUCCUCCGAAUCAUUCUCUACGAACACUUUGUUCGCGUUUCCAAUCUCAGCUUAUCAUCGAUGCUUAUCUUAGCAAUUCUGACUAAAUAGUCCACAGGACCGAGCCUUCGCUCUCACGGUCCCUAUACACUCUCCUUCACUGGGACACGUUCGAAGUAUUCACUUACAAUGCACACGGGUAACUACUUGUCUCAAUUACCACAGAUCUGUUCGCAAAUCGGAUCGGCGAUUUGCUAGGCCUAUCACUUAACUCAACGUCUCUCGCUCGCAAGCGUAGACCCAAUUAUCACGAGACACAGUUCUCACUUGAGAUAUCGUAUACCUGCUCCAACUGGGAGCAACCACGACCCCAAAUCACGCCAAGUCCUCGAGUUGGGUCACAACCGCACUCUCAGUGCAUCACCGAUUUCACGAUCCAACACGUGGCAUUCCACGUACUCAGGUCUAUGCUCGGACUACCGUCCUGACCAAAAACUCUCCGCCCUACCUGCAGGUAUCGGGCUGCUGUCUCUCACAGCUGACUGCGCCUGCCCCAUGGGUCCAGGCUCCGCAGUCCACAAGUGGUCGAGACACGGAUCGUCCCCAAGCACUACCCGCAAACGUCG
rnacentral:lncRNA from 1 species